GUGAAUCAUCAAAUUUUUGAACGCAAAUUGCACUCUCUUCGAAGAGUAUGCGUGUUUGAGGGUCAGCCUAAGAAAAAUCGACAUAGUGGCUGUUUCGCGGUUACAUUCGUCGGAAAUUGGGUUAGCGUAAACCUUUUGUUGUUAAGCGGCUUAAAAUUUUCUUUACGAUUCCACUAACGUUUCUUAAGUUUACUUACACGUUUAAGGUAUCGAGCUUUAUGAGACGUGGCCGUUGCAUCGUAUCG
rnacentral:misc_RNA from 1 species